UACAGGGGGGGCAAGCGUUGUUCGGAAUUACUGGGCGUAAAGGGCUCGUAGGCGGCCAACUAAGUCACACGUGAAAUCCCCAGGCUUAACCUGGGAACUGCGUGUGAUACUGGAUGGCUUGAAUUCGGGAGAGGGAUGCAGAAUUCCAGGUGUAGCGGUGAAAUGCGUAGAUAUCUGGAGGAAUACCGGUGGCGAAGGCGGCAUCCUGGACCGACAUUGACGCUGAGGCGCGAAAGCCAGGGGAGCAAACGGG
rnacentral:rRNA from 1 species